AAUAUUGCACAAUGGGCGCAAGCCUGAUGCAGCCAUGGCCGCGUGUGUGAAGAAGGCCUUCGGGUUGUAAAGCACUUUCAGUUGUGAGGAAGGUGGUGUCGUUAAUACGCGGCAUCAUUUGACGUUAGCAACAGAAGAAGCACCGGCUAACUCCGUGCCAGCAGCCGCGGUAAUACGGAGGGUGCGAGCGUUAAUCGGAAUUACUGGGCGUAAAGCGCAUGCAGGUGGUUUGUUAAGUCAGAUGUGAAAGCCCGGGGCUCAACCUCGGAACUGCAUUUGAAACUGGCAGACUAGAGUACUGUAGAGGGGGUAGAAUUUCAGGUGUAGCGGUGAAAUGCGUAGAGAUCUGAAGGAAUACCGGUGGCGAAGGCGGCCCCCUGGACAGAUACUGACACUCAGAUGCCGAAAGCGUGGGGAGCAAACACGGAUUAGACACCCCUGGUAG
rnacentral:rRNA from 1 species